rnacentral:misc_RNA from 1 species
UCCGGGUUGGACCCGGCGGUCCCGCCAGACAUGGUAACUGGCAGCGAGGGUUGCGCUCGUUGCGGGACUUAACCCAACACCUCACGGCACGAGCUGACGACAGCCAUGCAGCAUCUGUGCACGCUCCCUUGCGGGUCCUCAGCCUUUCGACCUCGUACCACGUGCAUGUCAAGCCCAGGUAAGGUGGGGAUGACGUGCGUCAGUCAA